UUCUCCACUUUUUACCCCGUAUUAACAAUGUGGCUGAUGAGGAAUCUUAUGAACCAUCAGCCUCGCUGUCAAUACGAGGUAAGGAGUGACAA
rnacentral:pre_miRNA from 1 species